rnacentral:rRNA from 1 species
AAUGAUCCUUCCGUAGGGGAACCUGCGGAAGGAUCAUUAUUGAUUGGUCGAAAGACCUUAUCAGAUUCUACCACCUCUGUGAACCGUUGACCUCCGGGUUAAUAAUCAAACAUCAGUGUAACGAACGUAAGAGUAUCUUAAUUAAACAAAACUUUUAACAACGGAUCUCUUGGCUCUCGCAUCGAUGAAGAACGCAGCGAAAUGCGAUAAGUAAUGUGAAUUGCAGAAUUCAGUGAAUCAUCGAAUCUUUGAACGCACCUUGCGCCUUUUGGUAUUCCGAAAGGCAUGCCUGUUUCAGUGUCAUGAAAUCUCAAUCUAAUAUGUUUUCUGAACAUGUUAGGCUUGGACUUGGGUGUCUGCCAGUGAUGGCUCACCUCAAAUGACUUAGUGGAACAUCCCACAUCAGUGUUAGACGUAAUAAGUUUCGUCUCUCCUUGUGGUGAUGACUGCUCAGAACCUGCCAUCGCGCAUCUUUUGACUUUGACCUGAAAUCAGGUAGGGCUACCCGCUGAACUUAAGCAUAUCAAUAAGCGGAGGAA